GAUGAACGCUGGCGGCGUGCCUAAUACAUGCGAGUCGAGCGAACGGACGAGAAGCUUGCUUCUCUGAUGUUAGCGGCGGACGGGUGAGUAACACGUGGAUAACCUACCUAUAAGACUGGGAUAACUUCGGGAAACCGGAGCUAGUACCGGAUAAUAUUUUGAACCGCAUGGUUCAAAAGUGAAAGACGGUCUUGCUGUCACUUAUAGAUGGAUCCGCGCUGCAUUAGCUAGUUGGUAAGGUAACGGCUUACCAAGGCAACGAUGCAUAGCCGACCUGAGAGGGUGAUCGGCCACACUGGAACUGAGACACGGUCCAGACUCCUACGGGAGGCAGCAGUAGGGAAUCUUCCGCAAUGGGCGAAAGCCUGACGGAGCAACGCCGCGUGAGUGAUGAAGGUCUUCGGAUCGUAAAACUCUGUUAUUAGGGAAGAACAUAUGUGUAAGUAACUGUGCACAUCUUGACGGUACCUAAUCAGAAAGCCACGGCUAACUACGUG
rnacentral:rRNA from 1 species